CGCCGGGAGGUCGAAGACCCCAGCCCAAACAGGACCCCGGCAGGGCGGGGAACCCAACCCAGGCAAUACCCAGGCAGGACCCAUACCCCAGCCCAGGCGGGACCCCGGGAGGGCCGAGACCUCAGCCCAGGCAGGACUAGGAAGAGCCAAGACCCCAGCCCAGGCAAGACCCCAGCGGAGGCAGGACCCUGGGAGGGCCAAGACCCCAGUCGAGGCAGGACCCUGGGAGGGCCAAGACCCCAGCCCAGGCAGGACCCCGGGAGGGCGGGGAACCCAGUCCAGGCAGGAGACGCAGGGAGGGUAAGACCCUAACCCAGGCAGGACCCCAGGAGAGCUGGGUCCUCAGACCAGCCAGCACCUAAAGAGAGUUGGGCCCUGGGACUGCACAGGACCCCCAGCAUGCCAGGACAGGUCAUCCAGGAGGGUCUGACCCUGGGACAGGCCACCAAGAAGAGCUGGGACCCCAAGAUGGGUCACCAAGGAGGGUUGGACCUGGCCACCUGGCAGGGACCAGGGAGGGCUAGGACCCUGGGAAAAAUCACGGAGGAGGAUCAGACCUAGGGACCAGGCAGAACCCAAAGAAUGCCAGAACCCCAGAAUAGGUACCCAAGGAAGGUCCCACCUUAAAGUGGGCCACAGAUGAGGGUCAGGAUCCCACGACUGUCGCUCCGGAGGACCUGACCCUGAGACCACCCCGUCUCCCCCGGAGGGGUAGGACCCUGAGACCACCCCAUCUCCCAUGGAGGGAUAGAACCCUGAGACUACCCUGUCUCCCCCGGAGGGGUAGGACCUUGAGACCACCCCAUCUCCCACGGAGAGAUAGAACCCUGAGACAGACAGCUUCAUCUCCCCAACCCCAGACCCUGAGACCACUCCAUCUCCCCGGGGGGGGGGGGGUGGGCUCGGACCCUGAGAGAUGGCCCCAUCUCCCCCAUCUGCUGGGACCCUGAGAUCGCCCCAUCUCCCCUGGGGGGGCUGGGAGCCUGAGACAGCCCUGUCUCCCCUGGGGGCUGGGAGCCUGAGACAACCCAGUCUUCCCCCCAGGGGGAGCUGAGACCCUGAGACGGCCCCAUCUCCCCCCUGGAGUCUGGGACCCUGAGACUGGACAGUGAGAGGGACUUGUGAAGUGGACAGGGUCCUAGAUGACCAGGACCUCAAAUGGGGUCACUUAGGGUUGGGACACUGAGUAUGGAUGAGGGGAGGGGAGAAGGCUAGGCUUUCAAGGAGGACCUGAUGAGCUAGAACUUCCAGAAAGGUCCUCAGAGGAGCUGGGACUCCCGAACAAGUCCCUGAAGAGCAUGUAGAUCCCAAGACUAGAUUGUAAGAAGUACUGGGACCCUGGGGUGCGAUCCGGAGGUGUACUGAAUCUGCCUAGCCCACUCAGCUGGACGCACCUGCUGUGAAGGCCCAGGCAUCUGGCAUCCUGGUACCUGAGGCCCUUUCCAUGAGACCCUGGCCCAGCCCCACAGCCCCUGCACACAAGCUCCCCAGGCUGGGACCUGGGGCAGGUAUGAGGCAGGGGACUCAGGGUUCCAGGAGCUCCCAGCCCACAGGCUCCAUGCCUCAGGCUGGCACUGUGCCCUCCCCUCCUCUCAGCCCCUCGUCCAGGGCUGCUGUCCUUCCCUCGCCUUGGCUAUGGUUGGUGUCCAGCACCUUCAGCCCUCCUGCCCCUCUCCCCACCUCCAAGGUUACCUGAGUGCCCCCUUCCUCAGUGUAGAGGCAUUUUCACUGUCUGGGAGACUCAAAGGAGGGGGGGAUCUGAGCUGGGAUGUGGACUCCUGGGCAUAUUUUGGGGACAGUUGGUCUGAGUCAGGGAAGUUGGAGCAGGCAUGACUGUUUCCCACUCCGUCUCCACUGCAGGAAGGGAAGGAAUUGAAGCAUCCUGGUUGGGGGGCAUGGGGUGGAGGUCUUUAUUUCUCUCAAACCUUUGAAUCAGCCUUUCAUCUAGAAUUUGUGGGUGUUUUCCUUUAAUUUGGAAGUGGUAAUGAAAGCGUGGGGUGCAGUUUUUAUUCUGCUGAGGUGUUCACAGUGAGUGGUCUGUGCUGUCCUUUGACUAGGGAAGAUCGUGUCAGGGUGUUUCUUGAGGGUGGUCAGCCUGGGAGCCCGCUCCUAGAGGGUACGGCAUGGUUGCUAGCAUGCAGCGCACAUUUCCUGAAAGAGUGAAUGAUGCAUGAACAAAUGAAUGAAAGGCAGUAGAUCCUCAGAGACAUCCACUCGGAUCAGGUGUGCACAGUUGCCUGGAAGCUGGGCAGUAAGAUGAGGUGUAACCCUAAAACUCUAGCUCUGUGGACUCCCAAGAGAGACACUGAAUUAGAUGGUUCGGGAUUUCAUCUUUGCCACAACUUCACUUCUUGGUUACUUAGGAGAAAACCACUUUAGGUUUUCAGCUUAACAUUUGAGGGUACUGAAUGUCAGCCAAAUGUGUCCCUGCCUGGUCAGCCUAGACCUAGAAGCUUUUAUUUGCCCGAUGUAACCGCCUGGGACCUUUUACUUAACACUUCCUUCUGAUUUGCUCUUUUGACAUAUCCUUACUGUCUUUAAAACUUAAUUUGCUUUGUGAAAUUGUGGAAGAGGCUUGUGAAGCUGAGUAUUCAGGUUUGUUUGGCUCUGUGCUGUCUGGUUCCCAGGUUUUUAGAGGUGUGGUUGUCCUGAGUGGAGCAGAUUACCCCAAACCUGUGCCUUAAACCGACAGUCAGAUAGUAUCUUACUGUUUCUGUGGGUCAGGGCUCCAGGUGGGCCCUCUGGCUCAGGAGGCUCCCAUCUGGGGCUGUGUCUCCUCUGGCUCAGGGGGCUCCCAUCUGGGGCUGUGUCUCCUCUGGCUCAGGGGGCUCCCAUCUGGGGCUGUGUCUCCUCUGGCUCAGGGGGCUCCCAUCUGGGGCUGUGUCUCCUCUGGCUCAGGGGGCUCCCAUCUGGGGCUAUGUCUCCUCUGAACGCUGGACUGGGAGCGUUUGCAUUCAGGCUGCAUCAUGUGACUGUGGGCUGGAGACCUCAGUUCCUUUCUCUAUAGGGCAGCUCCGAGGGUGCCCACGCCAAGCCAGAGAGGGACAGGAAGGACGUCCCAGACUGUGGAGUGACAUUCUAUCACUUUUGCCAAAUUCUCUUUGCCAGCAGUGAGUUGUUAGGCCCCUCCAUGGUUGGGAGGGAACUCCGAACGGUGAGCAUACCGUGGGCAGGUGUGGUCACCGGAACCACCUAAAGCCUGCCCAGCGUAGUGGUGCUGUGAGCCUGGCAUCUGCCAGGGCACUGGAGAGACAGCCCGUAAGUGAAUGGCGUGUAGACUGAUGUGUUAAGACGAGGAUGUGACCAUCCAGCUGUCUCUUUAAUUGCUGUGGGUUUCUCCCAUGUCACUGUCGGGAUUGAGAUAUUUGUGAUGUGUAAAAGAAGAUAAAUUACAGGUAGAAAAGAUUCUUAGGAAUUAACUUGCAGUUUGGAAUAUGAGUAGCCGUAAGACUCCACAAAUUAAAUGACAGGGUGUGUCACUAAUGUCAGAUUCUAACAGCUUCAAGUGCAGUGUUUUACUUGUCCUCAGCGUCCCCUCAUUUUAUUCCUGCCAGUGGUCUUGCUCCAGAAAUUAUCAACCGACUUCCGUUACGUUUUCCUAAACCACUUUAAAUAUAUGUUGGAAAUGUUUUUACUGGUCAAUGUCGGCCUCGUGCCCACGGUUAUUUGUGACUUCAUAACGGUGCUGUAGGAGACGUGAGACCCUGACCGUGUUGGACAUUUGGCCCGUGUGAGGGCUUAGGUCCAGGGUGCAGGCACCACUGCCAUCCAGAGCCUCUGCCCCCAGCCCACACCCUCCGCCCCACAGGGAGCUGGACCCACCCCUCCCUGCAGUUCUGGGCUGCAGCCAGGGCCGUGAAGGGGCCCUGUCCUGGACUCUGGAGACCUCAGCCUGCCCCUCCUACCACGCCGCACUCCCCAGACGUUCAGCGGCUCUGGCAACCUCCAGGAGCAGUAGGGGCCCUUCGCCGGGGGCUAGAAUCAUUUACUUGGGUGUUUUCAUUUGGGUUAUGAAGUGAGUCUUGUUUGGGUGUAUACUGUUCCUCUUUUUUUUCUUUUUUUUUUUUUUAGACAGAGUUUUGUUCUUGUUGCUCAGGCUGGAGUGCAGUGGCGCGAUCUCGGCUCACCGCAACCUCCGCCUCCCAGGUUUAAGAGAUUCUCCUGCCUUAGCCUCCCAAAUAGCUGGGAUUAUGGGCAUGCAUUACCACACCCAGCUCAUUUUGUAUUUUUUAGUAAAGAUGGGGUUUCUCCAUGUUCAGGCUGGUCUUGAACUCCCAACCUCAGGUGAUCCACCCGCCCCAACCUCCCAAAGUGCUGGGAUGGCAGGCGUGAGCCACUGCACCCGGCCACCGGGCAUGAGCUGAGAUCGCACCACCGCACUCCAGCCUGGACAACAAGAGCAAAUGGCAGGAUUUGUUAUUUUGUUUGCAGCCUUGCAAUUGAAGUUGAAAUGUCAUUUUUCAACAAAAUUAGCCAGCCAUGGCGGUGAGCACCUGUAAUCCCACCUACUCAGGAGGCUGAGCCAGGAGAAUUGCUUGAACCCAGGAGGUGGAGGUUGCAGUGAUCUGAGAGCACUACUGUCCUCCAGUGUGGGUGACAGAGCAAGACUUUGACUCAAAAAAAAAAAAGAAAAGAAAAUGUAAUUUUUCUUUUACCGUUGAAAUACAGUGAGGUUUAGGGACAGUUUCCUGUUGUUGAUCUAUUUUUUAUUCUGAUAUUUGCUGUUGAUAUUGCAAAAAUAUGGCACAAUUCAUUGUGCUUUAAAAAUUGAAAUUAUUUUUAAUUUCCUACAUUGAUAGUUUAUCAUUGAAUUUUAAAAAUGUGAGGCCUUAAGAAAAACAACAGAACUAUCUUUCCCUGUCGGCCACAUUUCUCCCAUAGAACCGAGUUAUGCAAAAGUCAGAGCGACAAAGAGCAGCAGUGAACAUUGCCCGGGUGCGCUUUUGUGGGAUUAUCCCCUAAAUUAAGCAAACCUCCCAUGGAUAGGAACUACUACUCUCUGGAAAAUAUAGUCCUUCAACCUGUUAUAUUAAAGAUAAACUCUAAUUUUUUUGUUGUUGUUUUGUUUUGAGAUGGAGUUUUGCUCUCGUUGCCCAGGCUGGAGUGCAAUGGCAUGAUCUUGGCUCAUGGCAACCUCUGCUUCCCGAGUUCAAGCAAUUCUCCUUCCUUAGCCUCUGGAAUAGCUGGGAUUGCAGGUGCACGCCAUCACGCUCUGCUACUUUUUUGUAUUUUUAGUGGAGAUGGGGUUUCACCAUGUUGGCCAGGCUGUUCUUGAUCUCCUGCCCUCAGGUGAUCCACCCACAUCAGCCUCGGAAGUGUUGAGAUUACAGGCAUGAGCCAUUGUGCCCGGCCAAUCAACUCUAAUAUUUACGUUCCCUUAGAGAGUGGGGGGUAAUUGAGGUUUGUUGGCUUAUUUUUUUUUCCCGCAAAUUCGUUGAUACUUGCUGGGCUUUGCUACAUUAGCAGCAAAUUCCAGACGUUUAAUAAGCAAUAGAUGCAAAGAGGACAUCUGUCUGCAGGCCUCCCUGAAACUCCCUCUAAUCCAUGGGUCCUGUGGGCCCCUGGGUGGGGGCUAUGUGGCCUCAUGGGUGCUAUGUGACCUUGUGGGGCCUGUGGGGCCUUGUGGGGGCUGUGGGGCCUCAUGGGGCUGUGUGGCCUCUGGGGGCCUCUGGGCCUUAUGGGGCUGUGUGGGCUUGUGGGUUCUGUGUGGUCUCGUGGGGGCUGUGUGCUUCAUGGCUCUUGUGGAGGCUGUGGGCCUGGUGGGUCCUGUGUGGACUUGUGGGGGCUGUGUGGGCUCGUGGGGGUUGUGUGCCUCGUGGGUCCUGUGUGGUUUCAUGGGGGCUGUGGGCCUGGUGGGUCCUGUGCGGUCUUGCGGGGGCUGUGGGCCUGGUGGGUCCUGUGUGGUCUUGUGGAGGCUGUGGGCCUGGCGGGUCCUGUGUGGGAUUGUCGGGGCUGUGUGAGCUCAUGGGGGUUGUGUGCCUCGUGGGUCCUGUGUGGGUUCAUGGGGGCUGUGGGCCUGGUGGGUCCUGUGUAGUCUCGUGGGGGCAGUUGGCCUGGUGGGUCCUGUGUGGUCUUGUGGGGGCUGUGGGCCUGAUGGGUCCUGUGUGGUCUUGUGGGGGCUGUGGGCCUGGUGGGUCCUGUGUGGUCUUGUGGGGGCUGUUGGCCUGGUGGGUCCUGUGUGGUCUUGUGGAGGCCGUGGGCCUUGUGGGUCCUGUGUGGUCUUGUGGAGGCUGUGGGCCUGGUGGGUCCUGUGUGGUCUUGUGGAGGCUGUGGGCCUGGUGGGUCCUGUGUGGGAUUGUCGGGGCUGUGUGGGCCUGGUGGGUCCUGUGUGGGAUUGUCGGGGCUGUGUGGGCUAGUGGGGGUUGUGUGGUCUUGUGGAGGCUGUGGGCCUGGUGGGUCCUGUGUGGGAUUGUCGGGGCUGUGUGGGCUCGUGGGUCCUGUGUGGGAUUGUCGGGGCUGUGUGGGCUCGUGGGGGUUGUGUGGGAUUGUCGGGGCUGUGUGGGCUCGUGAGUCCUGUGAGGGAUUGUCGGGGCUGUGUGGGCUCGUGGGGGUUGUGUGCCUCGUGCGUCCUAUGUGGAUUCAUGGGGUCUGUGGGCCUGGUGGGGCUGUGUUGGCUCAUGGGGGCUGUGUAGGCCUCAUGGAUCCUGUGUGGCCUCGGGGCUGUCGGCCUUGUGGCUCAUCUCCUAUCUGGGUCUUGUGAGCUGUUACAUCUCCAGGUUCUUGAUUAGGGCCUGGCCCAUAUUCGGUGCUGAGUAAACAGUAGCUGAACACUGAUCCUCAUGGAUGCCAUGUGGAGCUGUUCUGAGCAGCGUGCGUAUUAACGUGUUUGACUCCUGCUGCCGCCCAGGAAUCAGACCAGCAUGAGCCUGGCACAGCAGAGGGUGCACAGGGCCGGCGUGGGUGGAAUGUGAGGCUUCCAGGGCUCGUCUUUUGACUUCUUCAAUUUUAAGUGAUUUUAAUUUCCUUUUUUACCCAAAUUUUUAUUAAGAAAAAGAAUCACAAUAGAGAAUAACGUGGAGAAUUAUAGUGAGUACCUGCUGUGGUCCAAACGUCUGUGUCCCCCAGAAUCCAUGGGGGGACCCUAAUCCCCAAGGUGGUGAUGUCGGGCGUGGGGCCCUCAGGAGGCUCUGCCUGGAUGACCAGGGCUAGCCCCUUUCUAUCACUGAGGACGUGAGGGAAGGCGCUGCCUGUGAGGACUCGGACCCCACUAGCCCCCAAAUCUACCAGCAUCUUGAUUUUGGACUCCCAGCCUGCAGAACUGAGAAACGCGUUCUGUGGUUUGUCAGCUGCUUGGUAUAAGGUGCUUCAGUCGCAGCCACCUGAACAGACCAGGAUGGCACCCUCUGCCGCCCAGAUCCACUUGUGCUUCCUCUCCUCUGAAUACCUCCUGGAUCCCGACAGGAUGGGCCUUGCUGGGAAGGUUAGAGUCCCACCUGAGAGCAAGAACAAGGAAGGAUCCCCAUGCUGCUGCACCCCACUGUGAUCCUCAGAUGGUGGCACGUACUCCACAGUGGCAGCUGACCCUCAGGCCGCUUUCCCUCUCCCCAGCUGUGACAGCGGCACGUAUUCCACAGUGGGACUGACCCCCAGGCCGCUCUGUGUCUCCCCAGCUGUCUUGAGAAUGUUUCCACCUUUUCCUCAGCCAGAAUCAGCUGGGGCCUGGCCUUGUCCUGGAGGUCCUGGCCCUUUUGACCCUGCCAGGCAAGAUCCCCUGGCGCUGGAGGUCUUGUCUCUCUGUCCAUGGACCCGGCUUGUGUCCUUUCCACCUGCUGGCUUCUGCCAGUCCAGCAGAGGCUUGGCCCUGACCCUUCUGUCUCUGCAGAGACCCUUGUCAUUAGCUAAGGCACACCUGGCACUCCCAAUUCUGAGUUAGCUUAUUUGGGACCUUAAUUCCACCUUCAAAAGUCCCUUUAGAGCAGACUUUGGGUCAGGAUGUGAAUAACUGGAGGAUGUGUGUGUACACUAGAGCUCCAGAUUCUCGGCACCGUUUCCAAAUUUUGCCCACCGCAGUCUGGCCUCUUGUGACUCCAAAUUUAUAUCCUUCACAAAUGCACACUGCAUUCACCCUUUCCCUUCCAAGGUUCCCAGGAUCUUCUUGAGGGUGGCAUUAGCUCAGAGGCCUGAGGUGAUGUGUUCAGCAUGGGUGCAGCACCAGGGUGGACCUGGGCGCUGAGAUGGCUACUUGCCAGUUCAGGCCCAGCUGCUCUGUUCAAACAGGGACAUGGAGCGAGCCAGGAGUCCCUGGGCCACAGCAGUUCCCAUGCUAGAGGGGUGAGGGGGCAGACACCAGUCGGCUUCUUUUUUUUUUUUUUUGAGACAGAGUUUCGCUCUUGUUACCCAGGCUGGAGCGCAAUGGCGCAAUCUCGGCUCACCGCAACCUCCGCCUCCUGGGCUCAGGCAAUUCUCCUGCCUCAGCCUCCCGAGUAGCUGGGAUUACAGGCACGGGCCACCAUGCCCAGCUAAUUUUUUGUGUUUUUAGUAGAGACGGGGUUUCACCAUGUUGACCUGGAUGGUCUCAAUCUCUUGACCUUGUGAUCCACCCGUCUCGGCCUCCCAAAGUGCUGGGAUUACAGGCGUGAGCCACCGCGCCCGGCUCACCAGUCGGCUUCUAAUGAGGUUUCAGGCUGGAGGUCCUACUGGCCUUGGCCCUUCCCUUGGAGCUGCCUCACGUUUGCUGGGUUGAGCGUUGGCAAUUGGGUAGCUCCGUCAGCUGCUCCCAGCCCUACAGAAGGGUCCCACAGCCUCUGGACCUGUUUUUACUUUCUCCUGCUUCUGUGCAGAUUGAGCAAGAGAAUUGGGCUUCUGUGCUGUGAUCCUGUGGACACUGUGAGUGUGAGAAUCAGGUGCUGGGACCCUAUAGACUCCAAGUGUGAGAAUCGGGUGUGGGUGCUGGGACCCUGUAGACACUGUGACUGUGAGAAUCGGGUGUGGGUGCUGGGACCCUGUAGACAGUGUGAGUGUGAGAAUCGGGUGUGAGUGCUGGGACCCUGUAGGCACUGUGAGUGUGAGAAUCAGGUGCUGGGACCCUAUAGACUCCAAGUGUGAGAAUCGGGUGUGGGUGCUGGGACCCUGUAGACAGUGUGAGUGUGAGAAUCGGGUGUGGGUGCUGGGACCCUGUAGGCACUGCGAGUGUGAGAAUCGGGUGUGGGAGCUGGGACCCUGUAGGCACUGUGAGUGUGAGAAUCGGGUGUGGGUGCUGGGACCCUGUAGGCACUGUGAGUGUGAGAAUCGGGUGUGGGAGCUGGGACCCUGUAGGUACUGCGAGUGUGAGAAUCGGGUGUGGGUGCUGGGACCCUGUAGGUACUGGGAGUGUGAGAAUUGGGUGUGGGUGCUGGGACCCUGUAGGCACUGUGAGUGUGAGAAUCGGGUGUGGGAGCUGGGACCCUGUAGGUACUGCGAGUGUGAGAAUCGGGUGUGGGUGCUGGGACCCUGUAGGUACUGGGAGUGUGAGAAUUGGGUGUGGGUGCUGGGACCCUGUAGGCACUGCGAGUGUGAGAAUCGGGUGUGGGUGCUGGGACCCUGUAGAGAGUGUGAGAAUCGGGUGUGGGUGCUGGGAUCCUGUAGAUGCAGUGUGAAUGUGAGAAUCGGGUGUGGGUGCUGGGACCCUGUAGGCACUGUGAGUGUGAGAAUCGGGUGUGGGUGCUGGGACCCUGCAGGCACUGUGAGUGUGAGAAUCGGGUGUGGGUGCUGGGACCCUGUAGAGAGUGUGAGAAUUGGGUGUGGGUGCUGGGAUCCUGUAGAUGCAGUGUGAGAAUUGGGUGUCGGUGCUGGCACCCUGUUGGCACCGUUAGCUGCGUUCUGAGUUUGCUCUCAUUUCCUGGUGUUUUCUGGCUUUACCGUCUCCAGCUCUGCCUCUUGAGGGUCCCUUGCAGCCCCUGGCUCCCCUUGGCCUCUGUUUGUGUUUUCCUGUCCGAGGGCCUUGUUCUGCGGCCACUGCCUGCUGGUCCUGCAGGGCCCCUGUUGUCACCUCUGGUUGGCUACAGGCCUGUGGGACCUGGGGUGCGGGUGUCACUGAGCUCUUGCCUCCGUCUGGGGCCACCUGUUGCUUCCUCAACCUCCGCCUCCUGGGCUGGUCUCCUCCCGCAGUCUGCCCCUGCCACGCUGCCUCCUCACUGUAGGUGUGUUUUUUCAGUCAUCACUCCCUGGCCAUUGUUGUGCUGGUCCCAGCUGAAGCCUGAUUGCGGUCGGCAGUGACCAGCCGGACGGGGCAGGUGCUGUGAACUCCACCUGGUGCCGAAGAGGCAUUUGGCAGGCGUUUUCUGAGUGAGUGUUGGGGUGCAGCCUCCCUGAGACCUCUGGAAACACCUUUGCAUCUUCUCUCCCUGAGUAGUCAAGAUGCUGGGCAGGGAAUUCUGUGUGGAAGGGCGUUUUCUUCAGCACUGUGGAAGAAUGGUGUUUUCCACCUGUAAAAUCCAGUGUUGCCAUUGUCAAGUCAAACCUGGUCUUUUGUGGGGCUUCUCCCCCGGAGCUGCGGGGACCCCUCUGUUCCCUGAGACCCUGUAGUCGGCGGGGCGGGGGGGGUGGCUGUGUGUGAUGCUCCGUGGCCCCUCAUUCUGGCAGGAUUGUUUCAGCUUCUGAGAUGAAGACGGCCUGCGCAGGCCUGGAGAAUAAUACAGCAAGGCCUAUGUGCUUAUCAUCCCGCUGGGGAAGUAAGAUGAAGUAUAAUCAAAGCUCUCUCUCAGUUUUCUCUCUGCUUUCUGUAAGCCUAUUAACGGAUGCUGGAACUUUUCUGUCACCUGUGCUGUCUCUUUCUAGUGUUUGGGAAGAUUUUCUCAACUUCAUCAUCCACUCCUUCUACUGAAUUUUAAUACUGCCAGGCACAUGGCUGACAUCACCAUGUAGGGAGAUGGCCAGGGAACAAGCUUCACGAUGUAGCAGGGACCCGAGUGUCGUGCUCAG